rnacentral:rRNA from 1 species
UAACGUAGCGAAAGUUACGCUAAUACCGCAUAUUCUGUGAGCAGGAAAGAGGGGGAUCGCAAGACCUCUUGCUUUAGGAGCGGCCGAUGUCGGAUUAGCUAGUUGGUGAGGUAAAGGCUCACCAAGGCGACGAUCCGUAGCGGGGUCUGAGAGGAUGAUCCGCCACACUGGGACUGAGACACGGCCCAGACUCCUACGGGAGGCAGCAGUGGGGAAUUUUGGACAAUGGGCGCAAGCCUGAUCCAGCCAUGCCGCCGUGAGUGAAGAAGGCUUCGGGUUGUAAAGCUCUUUCGGUGGGGAAGAAAUUGCUUCGGUUAAUACCUGGAGUAGAUGACGGUACCCGCAUAAGAAGCACCGGCUAACUACGUG